rnacentral:lncRNA from 1 species
UCUCGAGAAAGCUUUGUUAAAUUUCUCCUUAUUUUCUUUCUCCAUAUGACAAAGGUCAAUGAUUAAAACUUAAAAAAACAAGUUGUUUGCUUUCAUUAAAACCUAAUGAUAUCCUAAGAACAUUUUAUUCUCUUUGUUUUUCUGAUAUAGUACAUUGCACAGAAGUCAAACAAGAUUAAGAAUACUACAAAACAUUUUAUGUGUCUGAAAAGUUUAUUUCAAAAUAAUUUCUACCUACGAAAGAUUUGAUACUUGGCAAGAAACAAUGGAUACGUGUAUCAAGAUGUAAUGAGAAAGACUUGUGUAUAAACCAGAGUCCCUCAAAUUGGAGCUAGAUAAACUGAAAGAUGAAGCUUUUCUCACCUUCCAGAUGACCAAAAGCAUCAACUCAAAGCAAAAACGCAGCAACAGCAACUCUUGGACUAGAUGUAAAGAGACUCCAAUCUCUGAAUACCAAGUACCUAAAACACGACGAGGUGCACUAAAAAGGGGUGGAAUGUGGGAUUACAUCCCUUCCUGAGUUAACACUUGGGUAAUGUGGUGAAGAGAUACCAAGAUGAUACUAGAGAUAAUUCUAACUAAUAAUAAUAAUUCAUAUCUAAGUCUAUGGCAAUCAAUACUCUAUAUAUAUAUAGUAGUUAAGAGUUUUCAUGGAAGGGAAGAGGAC